ACAAUGAAAAUGCAGGCAGAUCACAGGCAUCCACUGCAGAUGGUGGUCUGCGAUACUCAAUCGUUUUUCCCAAAUUUAAGCAUGGCGAAUUCAUGGUGAGAGCUCUGAAGAGUAAUCCUACCACAGGCUACAUUGACAAAUUAAUGGAGCUGCUGUUCCACCACGUCGUGGAAGACCCUCAACCAUACCUGGACUUCUCUGGACAGAUGACUGUACCAGAAAAACUGUGUGAUCAGUUUAUUCGGCCCGACAAGGAGCAGACAUGGGUCAAGGAUCUUUGAAAACACAUGAAGUCUGUGAGGUCCAUCUCUAAUCGUGAACUGAGUAUCGGAUUGGUGCAUCCCUACUUUAUGGAAUCAGCCUGUUUAACACUGGCUCUUACUUUUUAGCACUGUAGUCACCAAUAAGUUCAGAAAGUCCAUCAAACACAAGGUAAAGAACUACUUCAAGCUUGGUAUGGAUGUUAUACCCACUCUGCCAGCUGGGUCAUGUCUGUCAUUACAAUAUUGAACAAAAUGGUUUUCAAAUUUAGAUGGCAGAAAUAGGUUGGUACAUAUUCAUUUUGAGUUUUGUAGCUGAUUUUUUGAUUAUUAUUAUUGUGUACUGUUACUCAAGUUAAAAAUGCUUCUUUAUAAUUCAUUUUAAUUUAAUUUUAAUAUAAUACAAAUAUAUUCAAAAAUGCAGUGGGGGAAGGAAACCUCAGUAUGGUCCUUCUUCAGGAAACUCUUCCCUGAUUCGUGUCACAGCGCAUGAAGGUAUGACCACCUGAAUGUGUUGGCCAAGUUACCCCCAACACCACCUUACGACAUUGCGAUUUGCAAGGUGUCUAUAAAUGCUGAAAGAGAGGUGAUACACAUGUAUGUUGAAGUGGAGGGUAAAAAAAUGUUUUAUUUAUUUUUAAAUGCAUUUAAUUUUUUCCUAUUUAUUUAUAUAAACAGUGGCAGUAGUUUGGUGUGAGAGCAUCUGCAUGUACAGUGAGGCCAAGACUUUUGGGCAAUGGCCUGGUCUCAAGAAGGGCAGCAAAGAAGCCACUUCUCUCCAAGAAAAACCUCAAGGACAGACUGAAAUUCUCCAGGAAGUACAAGGAUUGGACAGCAGAAGACUGGUGCAAAGUUAUUUUCUCUGAUGAAGCUCCCUUCUGACUGUUUGGAACAUCUGGAAAAUCGUUUGUUUCGAGAAGAAUAGGUGAACGCUUCCAUGAGUCCUGUGACAAGCCAACAGUGAAGCAUCCUGAGACCAUCCAGGUGAGGGGUUGCUCUUCAACCAAGGGAGUGAGCUCUC
ensembl:lncRNA